UACGUAGGGUGCGAGCGUUAAUCGGAAUUACUGGGCGUAAAGCGUGCGCAGGCGGUCUGUUAAGACCGAUGUGAAAUCCCCGGGCUUAACCUGGGACUGCAUUGGUGACUGGCAGGCUUUGAGUGUGGCAGAGGGAGGUAGAAUUCCACGUGUAGCAGUGAAAUGCGUAGAGAUGUGGAGGAAUACCGAUGGCGAAGGCAGCCUCCUGGGCCAACACUGACGCUCAUGCACGAAAGCGUGGGGAGCAAACAGG
rnacentral:rRNA from 1 species